rnacentral:rRNA from 1 species
UGAUGCUAGGUGUUGGAGGGUUUCCGCCCUUCAGUGCCGCAGCUAACGCAUUAAGCAUUCCGCCUGGGGAGUACGACCGCAAGGUUGAAACUCAAAGGAAUUGACGGGGGCCCGCACAAGCGGUGGAGCAUGUGGUUUAAUUCGAAGCAACGCGAAGAACCUUACCAGGUCUUGACAUCUUUUGAUCACCUGAGAGAUCAGGUUUCCCCUUCGGGGGCAAAAUGACAGGUGGUGCAUGGUUGUCGUCAGCUCGUGUCGUGAGAUGUUGGGUUAAGUCCCGCAACGAGCGCAACCCUUAUGACUAGUUGCCAGCAUUUAGUUGGGCACUCUAGUAAGACUGCCGGUGACAAACCGGAGGAAGGUGGGGAUGACGUCAAAUCAUCAUGCCCCUUAUGACCUGGGCUACACACGUGCUACAAUGGAUGGUACAACGAGUUGCGAGACCGCGAGGUCAAGCUAAUCUCUUAAAGCCAUUCUCAGUUCGGACUGUAGGCUGCAACUCGCCUACACGAAGUCGGAAUCGCUAGUAAUCGCGGAUCAGCACGCCGCGGUGAAUACGUUCCCGGGCCUUGUACACACCGCCCGUCACACCAUGAGAGUUUGUAACACCCGAAGCCGGUGGCGUAACCCUUUUAGGGAGCGAGCCGUCUAAGGUGGGACAAAUGAUUAGGGUGAAGCGA